ensembl:snRNA U2 U2 spliceosomal RNA
AUCGCUUCUCGGCCUUUUGGCUAAGAUCAAGUGUAGUAUCUGUUCUUAUCAGUUUAAAAAAUCAGUUCAACAUGAAGAUAUGACUAUAAUAAUGACUAUAUAUAUGAUAUAUAUGACUAUAU